rnacentral:rRNA from 1 species
AUUGAACGCUGGCGGCGUGCUUAACACAUGCAAGUCGAUCGGUAACAGGUGUAGCAAUACAUGCUGACGCGAGGCGGACGGGUGGGGAAUAUUUGGGAAUCUGCCCAUCAGCGGGGGACAACCCGGGGAAACCCGGGCUAAUACCGCAUACGCUCUACGGAGGAAAGCCGGGGACCGCAAGGCCUGGCCCUGAUGGAUGAGCCCAAAACGGAGUAGCUAGUUGGCGGGGUAACGGCCCACCAAGGCGACGAGCCGUAGCUGGUCUGAGAGGACGAUCAGCCACACCGGAACUGAGACACGGUCCGGACUCCUACGGGAGGCAGCAGUGGGGAAUAUUGGACAAUGGGGGAAACCCUGAUCCAGCGACGCCGCGUGGGUGAAGAAGGCCUGCGGGUUGUAAAGCCCUUUCGGUAGGGACGAAAGCUCUUGCUCUAAUAAUGCAAGAGGUUGACUUAACCUACAUAAGAAGCACCGGCUAACUCUGUGCCAGCAGCCGCCGCCG